rnacentral:rRNA from 1 species
AGAGUUUGAUCCUGGCUCAGAAUGAACGCUGGCGGCAGGCCUAACACUUUGCAAGUCGAACGGAUCCUUCGGGAUUAGUGCGGACGGGUGAGUAACGCGUGGGAACAUACCCUUUGGUUCAGAAUAGCCCCGGGAAACUGGGAGUAAUACUGGAUGUGCUCGUAAGAGGAAAGAUUUAUCGCCAAAGGAUUGGCCCGCGUUGGAUUAGGUAGUUGGUGGGGUAAUGGCCUACCAAGCCGACGAUCCAUAGCUGGUUUGAGAGGAUGAUCAGCCACACUGGGACUGAGACACGGCCCAGACUCCUACGGGAGGCAGCAGUGGGGAAUCUUAGACAAUGGGGGAAACCCUGAUCUAGCCAUGCCGCGUGAUCGAUGAAGGCCUUAGGGUUGUAAAGAUCUUUCAGUUGGGAAGAUAAUGACGGUACCAACAGAAGAAGCCCCGGCUAACUCCGUGCCAGCAGCCGCGGUAAUACGGAGGGGGCUAGCGUUAUUCGGAAUUACUGGGCGUAAAGCGCACGUAGGCGGACUGGAAAGUCAGAGGUGAAAGCCCAGGGCUCAACCUUGGAACUGCCUUUGAAACUCCCAGUCUUGAGGUCGAGAGAGGUAAGUGGAAUUCCGA